CCUACGGGUGGCAGCAGUGGGGAAUAUUGCACAAUGGGGGAAACCCUGAUGCAGCGACGCCGCGUGAGCGAUGAAGUCUUUCGGUCUGUAAAGCUCUAUCAGCAGGGAAGAAAAUUACGGUACCUUCCUAAGACGCCCCGGCUAACUACGUGCCAGCAGCCGCGGUCAUACGUAGGGGGCAAGCGUUAUCCGGAUUUACUGGGUGUAAAGGGAGCGUAGACGGUCCUGCAAGCCAGAGGUGAAAGCCCGGGGCUCAACCCCGGAACUGCAUUUGAAACUGUAAGGCUGGAGUGUCGGAGAGGCAGGCGGAAUUCCUAGUGUAGCGGUGAAAUGCGUAGAUAUUAGGAGGAACACCAGUGGCGAAGGCGGUCCGCUGGACGAUGACUGACGUUGAGGCUCGAAAGCGUGGGGAGCAAACAGGAUUAGAUACCCCAGUAGUC
rnacentral:rRNA from 1 species